rnacentral:rRNA from 1 species
GACGAACGCUGGCGGCGUGCCUAACACAUGCAAGUCGAACGAGUGGCGUACGGGUGAGUAAUGUCUGGGAAACUGCCUGAUGGCGUGGGAUAACUACUGGAAACGGUAGCUAAUACCGCAUACCAUCAGAUGUGCCCAGAUGGGAUUAGCUAGUUGGUGGGGUAACGGCUCACCAAGGCGACGAUCCCUAGCUGGUCUGAGAGGAUGACCAGCCACACUGGAACUGAGACACGGUCCAGACUCCUACGGGAGGCAGCAGUGGGGAAUAUUGCACAAUGGGCGCAAGCCUGAGGCAGCCAUGCCGCGUGUAUGAAGAAGGCCUGCGGGUGGGAAAGUACUUUCAGCGGGGAGGCGUUACCCGCAGAAGAAGCACCGGCUAACUACGUGCCAGCAGCCGCGGUAAUAC